CUUGCCACCCGUUCUGCCUUCCAGGUGCAGCAUGUGGUGUCUCAGAACUGUGACGGGCUCCACCUGAGGAGUGGGCUGCCACGCACGGCCAUCUCCGAGCUCCACGGGAACAUGUACAUUGAAGUGAGCAGUCCUGCAGGGACCCGGGGUCUCCAUGGGCAGGCGGGUCCCACUCACUGUGCCCUCUUGCCUCUAGGUCUGUACCUCCUGCGUUCCCAACAGGGAGUACGUGCGGGUGUUCGAUGUGACGGAGCGCACCGCCCUCCACAGACACCAGACAGGCCGGACCUGCCACAAGUGUGGGACCCAGCUGCGGGACACUAUUGUGCACUUUGGGGAGAGGGGGACGUUGGGGCAGCCUCUGAACUGGGAAGCGGCGACCGAGGCUGCCAGCAGAGCAGACACCAUCUUGUGUCUAGGGUCCAGCCUGAAGGUUCUAAAGAAGUACCCACGCCUCUGGUGCAUGACCAAGCCCCCUAGCCGGCGGCCGAAGCUUUACAUCGUGAACCUGCAGGUAACUCGGGUGCUGAGAGCCACGUCCUUAGAUCU
rnacentral:sRNA from 1 species